rnacentral:rRNA from 1 species
GAUGAACGCUGGCGGCGUGCCUAAUACAUGCAAGUCGAGCGAACAGAUAAGGAGCUUGCUCCUUUGAAGUUAGCGGCGGACGGGUGAGUAACACGUGGGUAACCUACCUAUAAGACUGGGAUAACUUCGGGAAACCGGAGCUAAUACCGGAUAACAUUUAGAACCGCAUGGUUCUAAAGUGAAAGAUGGUUUUGCUAUCACUUAUAGAUGGACCCGCGCCGUAUUAGCUAGUUGGUAAGGUAACGGCUUACCAAGGCGACGAUACGUAGCCGACCUGAGAGGGUGAUCGGCCACACUGGAACUGAGACACGGUCCAGACUCCUACGGGAGGCAGCAGUAGGGAAUCUUCCGCAAUGGGCGAAAGCCUGACGGAGCAACGCCGCGUGAGUGAUGAAGGGUUUCGGCUCGUAAAACUCUGUUAUUAGGGAAGAACAAAUGUGUAAGUAACUGUGCACAUCUUGACGGUACCUAAUCAGAAAGCCACGGCUAACUACGU